CAGCCGCCGCGGUAAUACGAAGGGUGCAAGCGUUAAUCGGAAUUACUGGGCGUAAAGCGUGCGUAGGCGGUGAGCUAAGUCUGCUGUGAAAUCCCCGGGCUCAACCUGGGAAUGGCAGUGGAUACUGGCUCGCUAGAGUGUGUCAGAGGAUGGUGGAAUUCCCGGUGUAGCGGUGAAAUGCGUAGAGAUCGGGAGGAACAUCAGUGGCGAAGGCGGCCAUCUGGGACAACACUGACGCUGAGGCACGAAAGCGUGGGGAGCAAACAGGAUUAGAUACCCGCGUAGUCCCUGUCUCUUAUAC
rnacentral:rRNA from 1 species